rnacentral:tRNA from 1 species
UGGCCGCGUGGCCCAAUGGCAAGGCGUUUGACUACGAAUCAAAAGAUUGUGGGUUCGAAUCCCAUCGUGGUCAG